GGGUAUGCAUUCCCAGAAACCUGGUAAUUGAGGCAACAUGGAUUUUGGAAUGCAGAACAUCAGAACUACCAAACGUGCCCUGGAACAGAGAAUCACUAUGAUACUCACCUUGUGCCACAUUGCAACUGAAUUUUGAAGCUGCCAAGGGCCAGGACAGUCCUGUGAACUUCACCGACAGCUGGAUGGACUUGGGAGGGAGAACACAUCUGAUGGGGUUUUGGAAGCUCAGCCGCAGUGGAAAGUAACUGGAAUGCAGCCAUUGUCUGGCAGUGUCACCGGCACCAAGAGAUUUAUUGGAGGAGGUACAGAGGGAGCCAUAUACAUCAGCUGAUGGCAGGUGGGGAUUGUCUCCCAGGCUGAUGGAAUCACAUCUCACACCUGCACUAUGGAUGUAUGGAUUUACUUCACCUGCUGGCAGGCAGGGACUCUCUCUUUGGGAUCAUGGGAUCACUCUUGCAAUACAAAUAUACUGCAAAGCAGGAAUUUUUUGGGCAAAAACUUAUACACAUGGGAGGGCUUCAUGUGCCUGGUUACUUCUUUUGAUUGCUUUGAAUUCAUGAGAGUUCAGUUGUGUAAAUCUGGUGCAGGCUGGGUAAAAUUUAAUGGAUUGUCUCAUUUUGCACCAACUCACAGAGUAGCUGGUAGUGGGCAGCCAGACAAUUGCUCUACCUGACAUCUCUCUUUUCCCAUUUACCAAACUUCCUUUUUCAUGAUUCAGGUAUCUGUGGUCUUUUCCUCCUCACCUGGGAUUUGGACUGGUUUAUCAAAUUUUGAUUUCCUGUCUUCUGUUAAUAUUUAGCUCAUGCCAUUUCUCUGAGAAAUUAUUAUUGCAACUGCUGAACGCCAUUUGUGGUCAAAACACCAUAGUAACAUUAUUCAUAUACAUUAUCUGUGGCAUCAUUGACAUGCAGAAAAUACAUAAAUACACUUUCCAGGCUUCACAGUCUUGAAAAAUAAUUGAUGCUUUGCAUAAUUAUCUGAUAGAUACUUACAGAUAGA